rnacentral:rRNA from 1 species
GACGAACGCUGGCGGUGUGCUUAACACAUGCAAGUCGAACGGAAAGGCCCUGCUUUUGUGGGGUGCUCGAGUGGCGAACGGGUGAGUAACACGUGAGUAACCUGCCCUUGACUUUGGGAUAACUUCAGGAAACUGGGGCUAAUACCGGAUAGGAGCUCCUGCUGCAUGGUGGGGGUUGGAAAGUUUCGGCGGUUGGGGAUGGACUCGCGGCUUAUCAGCUUGUUGGUGGGGUAGUGGCUUACCAAGGCUUUGACGGGUAGCCGGCCUGAGAGGGUGACCGGCCACAUUGGGACUGAGAUACGGCCCAGACUCCUACGGGAGGCAGCAGUGGGGAAUAUUGCACAAUGGGCGGAAGCCUGAUGCAGCAACGCCGCGUGCGGGAUGACGGCCUUCGGGUUGUAAACCGCUUUCGCCUGUGACGAAGCGUGAGUGACGGUAAUGGGUAAGGAAGCACCGGCUAACUACGUG